GUGCUCGCUUUGGCAGCACAUACACUAAAAUUGGAAUGAUACAGAGGUUAGCAUGGCCCCUGCGCAAGAAUGACAUGCACAUUCGUGAAGUAUUCCAUAAAAAA